AUGGAGAGCGAUGAACGCGGGGGCGCGCACGUCCUGCUGGUGCCGCUGCCGGCGCAGGGCCACAUGAACCCGAUGCUCCAGCUCGGCCGCCGCCUCGCGUACCACGGCCUGCGCCCCACGCUCGCCGCCACGCGCUACGUGCUCUCCAUGGGCCCGCCCCCCGGCGACCCCUUCCGCGUCGCCGCCUUCUCCGACGGCUUCGACGAUGGCGGCAUGGCCUCCUGCCCGGACCCCGUCGAGUACUGCCGCAGGGCCGAGGCCGUGGGGUCAGAGACGCUGGCGCAGGUCAUCGCAGAGGAGAUGCGCGCCGGGAGGACGCCGUCCGUGAUGGUCUACGACCCUAACAUGGCGUGGGCGCCGCGUGUGGCCAAGGCCGCGGGCGUGCCGACCGGCGCGUUCAUGUCGCAGUCGUGCGCCAACAACCUUAUCUACGGCGAGGCGUGGGCGGGGCGCGCGCCGCUGCCCAUGGCGGACGGGAGCGGGGCGCGGUGA
rnacentral:rRNA from 1 species